UACAGAGGUUGCAAGCGUUAAUCGGAUUUACUGGGCGUAAAGCGUGCGCAGGCGGCGGCUCAAGUCAGGUGUGAAAUCCCCGGGCUUAACCUGGGAAUUGCGCUUGAAACUAGGUCGCUAGAGUGUGGCAGAGGGGGGUGGAAUUCCACGUGUAGCAGUGAAAUGCGUAGAUAUCGGGAGGAACACCAGUGGCGAAGGCGGCCCCCUGGUUGGAUACUGACGCUGAGACGCGAAAGCGUGGGGAGCAAACAGG
rnacentral:rRNA from 1 species